rnacentral:rRNA from 1 species
AUGCUAUCAAGUACAGAGCCAGAGCAGGAGGGAGAAGUAGGGCGCUACCGAGCUCAACGGAUAGGACAGUGCACCACUAACCUGACGACACCGGAGCCAUGGAAGAAGGGCGGGACGGGAAGGAGGCCAAGUCUGAGAGUUCAGAGGACCGGGGCACGGAUCUGCGUCGUGUGGGGGCUCGUCGUCAUGGUCAUGGUCUACUCCGUCGGCCACGUCUCCGGGGCGCACUUCAACCCCGCCGUCACCAUCGCCUUCGCCGCCUGCCGACGCUUCCCGUGGAAGCAGGUGCCGUCCUAUGUGCUGGCUCAGGUGCUGGGGUCCACGCUGGCGAGCCUGACGCUGCGGCUGACGUUCGGCGGCGCGCACGGGCACUUGUCCGGGAUGACGCCGUCCGGUUCGAGCACGCAGGGGGUGGCGCUCGAGUUCAUCAUCUCCUUCUACCUCAUGUUCGUCGUCUCGGGCGUGGCCACGGACGACAGAGCAGUUGGUGACUUGGCUGGUCUCGCAGUUGGUGCCACCGUCGUGCUCAACGUGCUCUUUGCCGGGCCGAUCACGGGGGCGUCGAUGAACCCUGCGAGGAGCCUAGGGCCGGCGAUCGUCGCCUGCCGGUACGGCGGCGUGUGGGUGUACGUCGUCGGCCCGGUGUGCGGGACGGUGGCGGGAGCCUGGACCUACAACCUCAUCUGGCUCCCGUACAAGCCCAUCGCCAGGAGCGGGUCGACUGCGUCGUUCCUCAGACCGCUGUAA